GCAUGGCAGGCUGAUUGAACACUCUAAAUUGUCCCUAGGUGUGAGUGUGAGCGUGGAUGGUUGUUCGUCUCUGUGUGCCCUGUGAUUGGCUGGCAACCGAUUCAGGGUGUCCCCCGCCUACUGCCCGGAGACAGCUGGGAUAGGCUCCAGCACCCCCCGCGACCCUAGUGAGGAUCAAGCGGUUCGGAAGAUGAAUGAAUGAAUGAA